CACGUAGGGGGCAAGCGUUGUCCGGAUUCAUUGGGCGUAAAGAGCUCGUAGGCGGCUCAGCAAGUCGGGUGUGAAACCUCCAGGCUCAACCUGGAGACGCCACUCGAUACUGCUGUGGCUAGAGUCCAGUAGGGGAGCGUGGAAUUCCUGGUGUAGCGGUGAAAUGCGCAGAUAUCAGGAGGAACACCAGCGGCGAAGGCGGCGCUCUGGGCUGGAACUGACGCUGAGGAGCGAAAGCGUGGGGAGCGAACAGG
rnacentral:rRNA from 1 species